GUCUACGCCCGUACCACACUGAAUGCCCCUGAUCUUGGAAGCUAAGCAGGGUCGGGCCUGGUUAGUAUUUGGAUGGGAGACUGCCUGGGAAUAUUGGGUGCUUUAGGCU
ensembl:rRNA 5S_rRNA 5S ribosomal RNA